rnacentral:rRNA from 1 species
GGAUUAGGCAUGCAAGUCGAACGCUCAUCUUCGGAUGGGAGUGGCGGAAGGGUGAGGAACACGUGAAUAAUCUGCCCCCAAGUUUGGAAUAACUUUCCGAAAGGAAAGCUAAUACCGAAUGUGGUUGAUUUACCGCAUGGUGAAUCAACUAAAGAUUUAUUGCUUGGGGAUGAGUUCGCGUCCCAUUAGCUAGUUGGUGAGGUAACGGCUCACCAAGGCCGAGAUGGGUAGCUGGUCUGAGAGGAUGAUCAGCCACACUGGGACUGAGACACUGCCCAGACUCCUACGGGAGGCUGCAGUCGAGAAUCUUUUGCAAUGCGCGAAAGCGUGACAAAGCAAUGCCGCGUGCCGGAUGAAGGUCUUCGGAUUGUAAACGGCUGUCACCCGUGACGAAAAAUGACGGUAACGGGAGAGGAAGCCACGGCUAACUACGUGCCAGCAGCCGCGGUAAUACGUAGGUGGCGAGCGUUGUUCGGAUUUAUUGGGCGUAAAGGGUCCGUAGGUGGUUUGUUAAGUCUGACGUGAAAUCCCAUGGCUCAACCAUGGAACUGCGUUGGAAACUGAUGAACUGGAGUGUUGUAGAGGUAAGCGGAAUACCAGGUGUAGCGGUGGAAUGCGUAGAUAUCUGGUAGAACACCGAAAGCGAAGGCAGCUUACUGGGCAACAACUGACACUGAGGGACGAAAGCGUGGGGAGCAAACAGGAUUAGAUACCCUGGUAGUCCACGCCGUAAACGUUGUCAACUUGAUGUGGGAGGAUUUAACCCCUUCCGUGUCAAAGCUAACGCGAUAAGUUGACCGCCUGGGGACUACGGCCGCAAGGCUAAAACUCAAAGGAAUUGACGG